UACGUAGGGGGCGAGCGUUGUCCGCAUUUACUGGGCGUAAAGAGCGCGUAGGCGGAUCCUUAAGUGAGGGGUGAAAGGUUCAGGGCUCAACCCGGACACUGCCUUUCAUACUGGGGAUCUUGAGUGCGGGAGAGGCGAGUGGAAUGGUCGGUGUAGCGGUGAAAUGCGUAGAUAUAAGGAGGAAGACCGGGGGUGUAGACGGCUCUCUGGACCGCCACUGACGCUGAGACACGAAAGCGUGGGUAGCAAACAGG
rnacentral:rRNA from 1 species